UACGUAGGUGGCAAGCGUUGUCCGGGAUUUACUGGGCGUAAAGGGCGUGCAGGCGGUUUGUUAAGUGCAGGGUGAAAGCUCCCGGCUCAACUGGGAGAGGUCCUUGCAUACUGGCAAACUCGAGGGAGGCAGAGGAAAGUGGAAUUCCCGGUGUAGUGGUGAUAUGCGUAGAUAUCGGGGAGGAACACCUGUGGCGAAGGCGCUUUCUG
rnacentral:rRNA from 1 species